UCCUCUCAGAAAUCACCCGUUACAAUAUGGAGUCGUUUAUCACAGCAAAUAUCCCCGUUAAUUUCUUCCCCAAUGAUAAAACCGUCAACUAUUUGGCUUCCCCUCACCAAUUCUAUAAAAGCCGGCAUAGUUGGAAAGCAUGAUCUCUCUAACAACAAGCUUCUGGUCAGAAAAGCUUAGGAAAUUUGCCUCCUUUCUGACGCUCAGUUCAAUCAUCCAUCAUCGGCGUUGUAAGACAUCACUGAUUAUUUUCAAAAUACAUGCAGCGAUUAAGUUGAGUCGUAUGUCCGAAAAGGCAUUCACGAGAUCAUUCAAUAGCCUGCAAAAUAUUAUUGGAGUCAAGAUUAAGCUUAAUAUAAAAACACUAGCAGUUCAGAGUGGCCGAGGAAGAGUAAUCAAAUCCGAGCAAAACAUGUUAUCUUUGUUAUCAGUUUGACAUGUAUUUGAUUGGACAAUCUUGAAGUAUCCACAGUUUGGCUCUAGCUCCACUCUAGCUCAAAACCAAGAUCGAGUCUUACACGUUAACCAGCUUUGUAUCCUCCAGUGCCAUCUGGUGAGAGACCAGAGAAACCUUCGGAACCUGCAAACCUGUAGCUUUGGCUAAGUUGAUGAAGAAGCAAGAGAGGAAGAAGGAAAUGAAUUAAAUGAUGAAUCGCAAACUUACUGGCUGUUCCAAUAUAUAAUUGUCAAGGUGAUGUGUCAAGCUCUGGUCUGGUAGAGACUAAAGAAAUGGUAUUAUAAGCAAAAAGGCGGAGUGAGGAAAGUGAUUGAUAAUUGUAUACUUGAGUCAACAAUAAAAAUUUAUAUAUUCUAUACAUUUGAUUUUGGAACAACAAAUUUCAAAAAUUUAUAAGUUUUUAAUUUUUUUUUUCGACCAAAAUAUUUGUAUAUAAUAUGAAUAUUUUGAUGACUUUGAUGACGGGGAGAAAUAAAAAUUGAAUAUUUUGUUGAACUA